CACGGAGUUAGCCGGUGCUUCUUCUGCGGGUAACGUCAAUCGACAGGGUUAUUAACCCCAUCGCCUUCCUCCCCGCUGAAAGUACUUUACAACCCGAAGGCCUUCUUCAUACACGCGGCAUGGCUGCAUCAGGCUUGCGCCCAUUGUGCAAUAUUCCCCACUGCUGCCUCCCGUAGGAGUCUGGACCGUGUCUCAGUUCCAGUGUGGCUGGUCAUCCUCUCAGACCAGCUAGGGAUCGUCGCCUAGGUGGGCCAUUACCCCGCCUACUAGCUAAUCCCAUCUGGGUUCAUCCGAUAGUGAGAGGCCCGAAGGUCCCCCUCUUUGGUCUUGCGACGUUAUGCGGUAUUAGCCACCGUUUCCAGUGGUUAUCCCCCUCUAUCGGGCAGAUCCCCAGACAUUACUCACCCGUCCGCCACUCGUCACCCAAGGAGCAAGCUCCUCUGUGCUACCGUCCGACUUGCAUGUGUUAGGCCUGCCGCCAGCGUUCAAUCUGAGCCAGGA
rnacentral:rRNA from 1 species